GACGAACGCUGGCGGCGUGCCUAACACAUGCAAGUCGAACGGAAAGACCCCUUUGGGGGUACUCGAGUGGCGACCGGGUGCGUAACACGUGCGUAACCUGCCCUUGACUUUGGGACAACUUCAGGAAACUGGGGCUAAUACCGGUUCGAAAUCCUUGCUGCAUGGUGGGGGUUGGAAAGCUUCGGCGGUUUUGGAUGGACUGGCGGGUUAUCAGCUUGUUGGUGGGGUUGUGGCUUACCAAGGCUUCGAAGGGACGCCGGCCUGUGUGGGCGACCGGCCACACUGGGACUUAGAGGCGGCCGAGACUGCGACGGGUGGGAGCUGUGGGGAAGCUUGCACGAUGGGCGCAGGGCGGGUGCAGCAGCGCCGCGGGCGGUAUGACUGCCUUAGGGUUGAAGACCGCUUUCAGCAGGAGCGAAGCUUGUGGUGACGGUACCUGCAGAAAAAGCACCGGCUAACUACGUG
rnacentral:rRNA from 1 species